AGCUUUUUGAAUCUAUGCAGAGAUUUCAUCAGACACCAACCCAGUAGGGUUGAUCAGACUUCCAAGAUAAGUGAAGUU
rfam:Schistosoma mansoni, Puerto Rico, WGS project CABG01000000 data, contig: 0225